rnacentral:lncRNA from 1 species
AUGCUGGCCUUCCAAUCCGCUUCACAGACAACGUGGGCGGAGCGAGCCCAAGGCUCCCACCGUCUGCCUUGGCGAGGAAGCGCCCUCUUUCGCCAUCCAGAACGGGAGCCCCUCCUUGGUUCCAGGACCAGAACCGAGCCCAGAAGCUGCGGGGGAUGGAGGCCGGCCAGCGCGGCCACUGCAGAGGGCGCGGGCGCCACGCCGGAGCUCUCGGGGUCAGAAUCUUCGUCCUUCUCCAGCACGUGGCGUUGUGUUUCGUCUACUUUUUUUGUUUGGGAGAAGGAGACCAAGCGGGAGCUCCCACCCGCUGGUUCGCGCCCCAGAUGCCGGCAGCAGGCCAGGCCGAAGCGGGGGGGCCCGGGAACUCCAUCCAGGCCUCCAGUGUUGAGUGGCAGGAACCCAGUUACUGUCGCCGGCUGCCUCCCGGGGUCUGCACUGGCAGGAAUCUGAGUCAGGACCUGCAUCAGGUCCUCAGACGUGGGACACAGGUGUCUUAGCGGGCAUCUUAACCACCAGGCACCUGCGUUUUCUUCUACCUACUGAGAAAGUAGCCCCCACCCACCCUGCGCUGCCACACUCCCCCCCCCCCCAUACCUGAGGGCUGGGGGUGGACGCAGCCCGCCUCCCGUGUGCCCUGGAGCUUCUAGGCCGGCCCCACAGCACCAUCUACCGGGCAGCUAGCCGGGACCCUCCUGAGGGGCGGAGCCUGUGCCCCGCGCCUGGCCUGGGGCCUGCCUUCAGAGCCAAGCCCAGUGUCUUAGCUUUGGCUCUGGGCAGGUCGGGAGGUGUCACGGGAGUCAACCUGUACAGAUUCCAGAUUCCAGGCCGGGGCCUGCUUCCUCUCCCCUGCCCCCCAUCAGGGACUUGGGGGUACGCAGGGAUCCUUGUUUGUGGAUGGGGGCUCAGGGUAAGGCCCUGCCCAGGCUGGGCCCCCAGGAAGUGCAGGAGAGAGGGGCAGAGCCGGAACCUUUGCCUUCCGUGGCUCGUGGACCGCCAACCCUCCCCGAGCGCCGCCGGAGCGGCAGGUUCUCCCACGAGUUGACCUGUGAGAGCAGCCGGGUCACCCCGCGGUCCUCACCUCUCUCCGUCUCUCUCCCAGGUCCGCAGUGGAGCAGCAGGGGCCCGGGAGGGCCUGACGCCUUGGCAGCGAUGGCUGAGAAGCGGCCCCUGGGGACCCUGGGGCCUGUGAUGUAUGGCAAGCUGUCCCGGCUGGAGGCAGACCCGGGGCCCGGGCAUGGCCUGGCCUCCUUCUGCUCAGCACCCUCGGACUCCCUGUGGCUAC